UACGUAGGGGGCUAGCGUUGUCCGGAAUCAUUGGGCGUAAAGAGCGUGUAGGCGGUCCGGUAAGUCGGCUGUGAAAGUCCAGGGCUCAACCCUGGAAUGCCGGUGGAUACUGUCGAGCUCGAGUCCGGAAGAGGCGAGUGGAAUUCCUGGUGUAGCGGUGAAAUGCGCAGAUAUCAGGAAGAACACCCGUGGCGAAGGCGGCUCUCUGGAACGCAACUGACGCUGAGACGCGAAAGCGUGGGGAGCAAACAGG
rnacentral:rRNA from 1 species